GACGAACGCUGGCGGCGUGCCUAAUACAUGCAAGUUGAGCGCUGAAGGUUGGUACUUGUACCCACUGGAUGAGCAGCGAACGGGUAAGUAACGCGUGGGGAAUCUGCCUUGGAGCGGGGGACAACAUUUGGAAACGAAUGCUAAUACCGCAUAAAAACUUUAAACACAAGUUUUAAGUUUGAAAGAUGCAAUUGCAUCACUCAAAGAUGAUCCCGCGUUGUAUUAGCUAGUUGGUGAGGUAAAGGCUCACCAAGGCGAUGAUACAUAGCCGACCUAAGAGGGUGAUCGGCCACAUUGGGACUGAGACACGGCCCAAACUCCUACGGGAGGCAGCAGGAGGGAAUCUUCGGCAAUGGACGAAAGUCUGACCGAGCAACGCCGCGUGAGUGAAGAAGGUUUUCGGAUCGUAAAACUCUGUUGGUAGAGAAGAACGUUGGUGAGAGUGGAAAGCUCAUCAAGUGACGGUAACUACCCAGAAAGGGACGGCUAACUACGUG
rnacentral:rRNA from 1 species